rnacentral:rRNA from 1 species
AUUGAACGCUGGCGGCAGGCCUAACACAUGCAAGUCGAGCGGAGCGGCGGACGGGUGAGUAAUGCCUGGGGAUCUGCCUGGUAGUGGGGGAUACCGUCCGGAACCGGGCGCUAAUACCGCCUACUCUCCAAUGGGCCUAGGUCGGAUUAGCUAGUUGGUGGGGUAAAGGCUUACCAAGGCGACGAUCCGUACCUGGUCUGAGAGGAUGAUCAGUAACACUGGAACUGAGACACGGUCCAGACUCCUACGGGAGGCAGCAGUGGGGAAUAGUGGACAAUGGGCGAAAGCCUGAUCCAGCCAUGCCGCGUGUGUGAAGAAGGUCUUCGGAUUGUAAAGCACUUUAAGUUGGGAGGCGUUACCAACAGAAUAAGCACCGGCUAACUUCGUGCCAGCAGCCGCGGUAAUAC